rnacentral:rRNA from 1 species
GUGAGGAAUAUUGCGCAAUGGAGGCAACUCUGACGCAGCCAUGCCGCGUGCAGGAAGAAGGCGCUACGCGUUGUAAACUGCUUUUAACCGGGAAGAAACCCAAGGACGUGUCCUGGGUUGACGGUACCGGAGGAAUAAGCACCGGCUAACUUCGUGCCAGCAGCCGCGGUAAUACGAAGGGUGCAAGCGUUAUCCGGAUUCAUUGGGUUUAAAGGGUGCGUAGGCGGAGCGUUAAGUCAGUGGUGAAAUCCUGCAGCUUAACUGUAGACUUGCCAUUGAUACUGGAGCUCUUGAGUGCGCUUGAAGUGGGCGGAAUGUGCCGUGUAGCGGUGAAAUGCUUAGAUAUGGCACAGAACACCAAUUGCGAAGGCAGCUCACUAAGGCGAUACUGACGCUGAGGCACGAAAGCGUGGGGAUCGAACAGGAUUAGAAACCCGGGUAGUCC